AGAGUUUGAUCCUGGCUCAGGACGAACGCUGGCGGCGUGCCUAACACAUGCAAGUCGAGCGAAGUUUUUAAAGUGGAUUCCUUCGGGAUGAAACUUUAAAUGUUCUUAGCGGCGGACGGGUGAGUAACGCGUGAGAAACCUGCCUUUCACAAAGGGAUAGCCUCGGGAAACUGGGAUUAAUACCUUAUGAUACUUCUUUAUCGCAUGGUAGAGAAGUUAAAGCGCAAAGCGGUGAAAGAUGGUCUCGCGUCCCAUUAGUUAGUUGGUGAGGUAACGGCUCACCAAGACUUCGAUGGGUAGCCGGCCUGAGAGGGUGAACGGCCACACUGGAACUGAGACACGGUCCAGACUCCUACGGGAGGCAGCAGUGGGGAAUAUUGCACAAUGGAGGAAACUCUGAUGCAGCGACGCCGCGUGAAUGAUGAAGGCCUUCGGGUCGUAAAAUUCUGUCCUAGGGGACGAUAAUGACGGUACCCUAGGAGGAAGCCCCGGCUAACUACGUGCCAGCAGCCGCGGUAAUACGUAGGGGGCGAGCGUUGUCCGGAAUUAUUGGGCGUAAAGGGUUCGCAGGCGGUUUUUUAAGUAAGAUGUGAAAGGCUCCGGCUCAACCGUGGUAAGCAUUUGAAACUGAAAGACUUGAGUUAAGGAGAGGAAAGUGGAAUUCCUAGUGUAGCGGUGAAAUGCGUAGAUAUUAGGAGGAAUACCAGUGGCGAAGGCGACUUUCUGGACUUAUACUGACGCUGAGGAACGAAAGCGUGGGGAGCAAACAGGAUUAGAUACCCUGGUAGUCCACGCCGUAAACGAUGAGUGCUAGGUGUUGGGGGUCAAACCUCGGUGCCGCAGCUAACGCAUUAAGCACUCCGCCUGGGGAGUACGUACGCAAGUAUGAAACUCAAAGGAAUUGACGGGGACCCGCACAAGCAGCGGAGCAUGUGGUUUAAUUCGAAGCAACGCGAAGAACCUUACCAGGGCUUGACAUGCCACUGACCGUCCUAGAGAUAGGAUUUUACCUUCGGGUACAGUGGACACAGGUGGUGCAUGGUUGUCGUCAGCUCGUGUCGUGAGAUGUUGGGUUAAGUCCCGCAACGAGCGCAACCCUUGCCUUUAGUUGCCAUCAUUAAGUUGGGCACUCUAGAGGGACUGCCGAUGAUAAAUCGGAGGAAGGUGGGGAUGACGUCAAAUCAUCAUGCCCUUUAUUCCUGGGCUACACACGUGCUACAAUGGUCGGUACAACGAGUUGCUACCUAGUGAUAGGACGCUAAUCUCUAAAAGCCGAUCCCAGUUCGGAUUGUAGGCUGCAACUCGCCUACAUGAAGUUGGAGUUGCUAGUAAUCGCGAAUCAGAACGUCGCGGUGAAUGCGUUCCCGGGUCUUGUACACACCGCCCGUCACACCAUGGGAGUAGGCAAUACCCGAAGCCAGUGAGCUAACCAGUAAUGGAGGCAGCUGUCGAAGGUAGGGUCAAUGACUGGGGUGAAGUCGUAACAAGGUAACC
rnacentral:rRNA from 1 species